GCCCAUUAGCUAGCCCGCCACCCAAAACCAACAUACCCCCAUACAUACCCCCAAAUACACUUAAUUACCUCAAAACAAACCAUUUUUCCCCCUUAGUAUAGGCGAUAGAAAAGGACUUAAGGAGCAACAGAGAAAGUACCGCAAGGGAAAGCUGAAAGAGAAAUGAAACAACCCAGUAAAGCAUAAAAAAGCAGAGAUACCCCCUCGUAC
rnacentral:rRNA from 1 species